GAUGAGCGCUGGCGGCGUGCCUAAUACAUGCAAGUCGAGCGAACAGACGAGGAGCUUGCUCCUUUGACGUUAGCGGCGGACGGGUGAGUAAUACGUAGGUAACCUACCUAUAAGACUGGGAUAACUUCGGGAAACCGGAGCUAAUACCGGGUAAUAUUUCGAACCGCAUGGUUCGAUAGUGAAAGAUGGCUUUGCUAUCACUUAUAGAUGGACCUGCGCCGUAUUAGCUAGUUGGUAAGGUAACGGCUUACCAAGGCAACGAUACGUAGCCGACCUGAGAGGGUGAUCGGCCACACUGGAACUGAGACACGGUCCAGACUCCUACGGGAGGCAGCAGUAGGGAAUCUUCCGCAAAGGGCGAAAGCCUGACGGAGCAACGCCGCGUGAGUGAUGAAGGUCUUCGGAUCGUAAAACUCUGUUAUUAGGGAAGAACAAACGUGUAAGUAACUGUGCACGUCUUGACGGUACCUAAUCAGAAAGCCACGGCUAACUACGUG
rnacentral:rRNA from 1 species